rnacentral:lncRNA from 1 species
GGUGACAUUAAGCUUUAUGGGGACAAAAAUGCUAUCUUGAGUAAAAGCUACCGUUGGCCCAAUGCACAAAUUCCUUAUCAAAUCUCAGCGGAGUACACAAGCGAUCAGCGUACAAUAAUCGCCUUCGCUAUGAGCGCCUACCACAACAAUAUGUGCAUCCGUUUCGUCCCUCGAACCUGUGAAAAGAAUUACAUUAGGAUCUAAAAAACUGGAAACGGUUAUUGGAGUUACGUUGGCAUGCUAGGGAUUUCAGAACAACAAGUAAGUCUCGAUGAUCAAUGUCUCACCACUUCUAGGCCAGGAGUAGCCAUGCACGAACUAAUGCACACCGCUGAUUCUACCACGAACACACGCGUCCACAUCGUGACACCUACGUGAGGAUCAACUUUACCAACAUUCAGCCACAAUACGCCAACAACUUCGAAAAAAAUUUUGCUUCACAGGUGACUACUCUUGGACUUGCUUACGACUAUGGCUCUGUGAUGCAUUAUCCUUAAUAUGUCUUUGCUAUUAACACAACUUAUCCGACCAUCACUCCACUUAUUGGAAAGCCAGCAUUGGGACAACGAACAGGAUUCAGUUUGCUGGACCUCCAAAAAUUGAAAGCACUGUAUUGCUCCGCAUCGAAAUAAAUACUUGUGACGGGCGCACGAGAAUAAUUUGCAUCGAUCUGUUUCGCAUACGAAUAUCGUAGCUCCCUCCUUUGCAGUUUGAAUGGUGAUUUGGUGGCCAAUUUCGUCCACAGCUGAAAAAACAGCCUUUAAAAGCACAACUUGAUACGAGUCCUUUAUUUGUUGUUCUGGUGAUUGAUUGUCUCACAUACAGUUUCAAUAAAGUUUGUUCA